rnacentral:rRNA from 1 species
GUGGCGGCCCUCUUAUGCACGUCCUCUUCGCGCGUCCUCCUCAACGGUAUUGCCGGGCCCGCCAUCUACCAUGGACGAGGGCUCAGACAAGGGGACCCCCUUUCACCCCUUCUCUUUGUCCUCGCGAUCGACCCCUUACAGCAGCUCCUCGACAUUGCCACAAGUCACAACCUGCUCCAGAAAAUUCGAGGCCGU